rnacentral:rRNA from 1 species
UACGUAGGGUGCAAGCGUUGUCCGGAAUUAUUGGGCGUAAAGAGCUCGUAGGCGGUUUGUCGCGUCUGCUGUGAAAACCCGGGGCUCAACCCCGGACUUGCAGUGGGUACGGGCAGACUAGAGUGUGGUAGGGGGAGACUGGAAUUCCUGGUGUAGCGGUGAAAUGCGCAGAUAUCAGGAGGAACACCGAUGGCGAAGGCAGGUCUCUGGGCCACUACUGACGCUGAGAAGCGAAAGCAUGGGGAGCGAACAGG